rnacentral:rRNA from 1 species
CAGCCGCCGCGGUAAUACGUAGGUGGCAAGCGUUGUCCGGAAUUAUUGGGCGUAAAGGGCUCGCAGGCGGUUUCCUAAGUCUGAUGUGAAAGCCCCCGGCUCAACCGGGGAGGGUCAUUGGAAACUGGGAAACUUGAGUGCAGAAGAGGAGAGUGGAAUUCCACGUGUAGCGGUGAAAUGCGUAGAGAUGUGGAGGAACACCAGUGGCGAAGGCGACUCUCUGGUCUGUAACUGACGCUGAGGAGCGAAAGCGUGGGGAGCGAACAGGAUUAGAUACCCCCGUAGUCCCUGUCUCUUAUAC